UACGUAGGGGGCAAGCGUUGUUCGGAAUUACUGGGCGUAAAGCGCGUGUAGGCGGUCCGAUAAGUCGGAAGUGAAAUCCCUCGGCUCAACCGGGGAAUUGCUUACGAUACUGUCGGACUUGAGUGUGGGAGGGGAGAGCAGAAUUCCCGGUGUAGCGGUGAAAUGCGUAGAUAUCGGGAGGAAUACCGGUGGCGAAGGCGGCUCUCUGGACCAUUACUGACGCUGAGACGCGAAAGCGUGGGGAUCAAACAGG
rnacentral:rRNA from 1 species